AAAUACAAAGUGUUCCCAGUGCCUUUGAUGCAGGAGUUAAUGAAGCGUUCGUUUAGGCGGCGGAGGCACAUGCUAAGAAAACAUGUCUAAGGAAGGGGGUCAAUCUUUAUUGAUCACUACCAGUGCGGGGCGUUUCAUGCAGUUACUCUUACUUGCAUACUCCGUCAACCUAGUAUGGUAGGUUUCUUACCCAUUUGCAGGGCAGGGCAGGGCAGGGAUGAUCAGAGCAGUCAGAUAAUUUUGGCCCCUACCCCACAGCAAAGCAGAAAUGCUGGGUUGCUGUCCUGCUGUCCUGAGUGUGCCUCCAGGACCUGUGGUCUCCAGGAAGCCCUGCCCCGCAGGGCUCCUCCCUGCACAGCUGGAGCCCCAUCCUCCGGCAGCAGGUCUUGUGCAUAAUCCUCUUGUGUGUCAUUUACCUUACCUCUCUUUAAAUUGCAUCACAUUAACAGCCUUUGAGUCUCUCCAGGACCUCUGGAAUUCCACACGGACCUUUCCUCCAGCAGCUCCGCCGUGUUUGGGGCAGCUCCUGCAUCCCUGGAGCCAAGUUUCAACGUCUUUCUCCUACUGUGCGAUCAAAAUUCUCUGCACACAUUAUGAGCCUGUUGAGUCUUCUCACUGAAGCCUGUGGAGCUGGGAAAGGAGUGAGGAAAGCGAAUGAUGAUGCUUUUCCCGCUGGCUGUGAAGACACCGCCCAAGGCUGCGCAGUCACACGGCUGAUGUCCCUGGAGGGCUCUUGUCCAGAGUAUCCAGGAAAUGCUUCAAACCUCGGGGGAACUUUUCCAGAAGAUGAGCUUUGGGAAGCCCGUAAGGAAUCGUUUUCUUUCCAUCAUUCUGGGGCUGACGCAGUCAACAAUAACGAAGUGAUGGCAGAGCCCCACCGCUGUGGUACCAAUUUCACGAAGGCACCGAGAGUGAACCACGAUGCACGUUUUGAAUCGUAUCUGACUGGUGGCUCUGUUAUUCCGAGCGCCGUGCUA